rnacentral:rRNA from 1 species
UACGUAGGGGGCAAGCGUUGUCCGGAAUCAUUGGGCGUAAAGAGCGUGUAGGCGGCCCGAUAAGUCCGCUGUGAAAGUCCAGGGCUCAACCCUGGAAUGCCGGUGGAUACUGUCGGGCUCGAAUCCGGAAGAGGUGAGUGGAAUUCCUGGUGUAGUGGUGAAAUGCGCAGAUAUCAGGAGGAACACCGGUGGCGAAGGCGGGUCUCUGGGCCGAUACUGACGCUGAGGAGCGAAAGCGUGGGGAGCGAACAGG